UUCCACCACCACCACAGCCCCACCUUAUCCACUGCUGGCCUCCACAGACGGGCAGCGGCGCGCUUGCCGCGGCGUCCGCUCCGCUCGAGCCCAGUAAUGGGGCGAGGCGUCGCGGCGCCGGCGUUCCUGCACGCCUUGUCGGCCUUGGAGCUAGCCUUCGCGGGGGCGGGCCGAGGCGUCGCGGUAGAGCACGAUAAGCAGACAGGCACGCGCCGCCGGCGCGCUUGCCGUGGGCGUCCGCUUCACCCGAGCCCAGGAGUGGGGCGAGGCGUCGCGGCGGCGUUCCUACGCGCCUUGUCGCCCUCGAAGCUGGCCUUGGCGGGCCGAGGCGUCGCGGCGGAGGACGACAAGGCGGCCGGCGUGCUCUGUUGGGGUGAGGCGUCGCGGCGCUCCGGCUCCGGCAGAUGACGACAGAAAGCCAGGUGUGGCUUGGCGUCGCCAAGAGCCACGAGGUCGUCGGCGCCGGCCACCGCGCCAGGCUGGACCAGCUGCUGCAGCCCCCCUGCGUCGUCGCCGUCGCCGUGGCACAAGAAGCACGAGUCCCCCCUCGCUGUCGGAGGCUGGGUGUCGUUCUAUAGUGCAGAUUGUCUAAUUGAGUUUCUGAAAGCAUCGUCCACGUCUGCCACUUCAUGGGUCCGUACACUGGGAACUCACGCCUGAGAACUUCCUGCUCACCAGAUUUGAUUUCAGUUUCUCUGUCUCCAUCGAAGAAAUGGCAAGCAUGGUUAAGGCGAGCAACGAGGGUUCCUGUAGUGCAUAACCAUUUCAAGUCGCCCAAGUUCUAAAGAGAGAUCAGAAGUGCCAGCUACUGAAGCAAAAAAAAAGGACCUGAUACACAUUGUAAUCAUGGACUGCUGAUAUACCUGAUGCAUUUCUUCAUGAUGGUGAUAUUCCUAAUGGUUGCUACUGACGCUGAAAAAAUUACUCCUGAAGCACUAGAAGUGCCCUCUCUAUGGCGCAUCACUCACUGGAUCCAGAUGGGCAACAUUCCGCUUCAAGAUUAAAGA